UAAUCUGCGAUAAGCGCCGGUAAGGUGAUAUGAACCGUUAUAACCGGCGAUACCCGAAUGGGGAAACCCAGUGUGACUCGUCACACUAUCAUUAACUGAAUCCAUAGGUUAAUGAGGCGAACCGGGGGAACUGAAACAUCUAAGUACCCCGAGGAAAAGAAAUCAACCGAGAUUCCCCCAGUAGCGGCGAGCGAACGGGGAGGAGCCCAGAGCCUGAAUCAGCAUGUGUGUUAGUGGAAGCGUCUGGAAAGGCGCGCGAUACAGGGUGACAGCCCCGUACACAAAAGCGCAUGUGCUGUGAGCUCGAUGAGUAGGGCGGGACACGUGGUAUCCUGUCUGAAUAUGGGGGGACCAUCCUCCAAGGCUAAAUACUCCUGACUGACCGAUAGUGAACCAGUACCGUGAGGGAAAGGCGAAAAGAACCCCGGCGAGGGGAGUGAAAAAGAACCUGAAACCGUGUACGUACAAGCAGUGGGAGCACCCUUCGGGGUGUGACUGCGUACCUUUUGUAUAAUGGGUCAGCGACUUAUAUUCUGUAGCAAGGUUAACCGUAUAGGGGAGCCGUAGGGAAACCGAGUCUUAACCGGGCGUUAAGUUGCAGGGUAUAGACCCGAAACCCGGUGAUCUAGCCAUGGGCAGGUUGAAGGUUGGGUAACACUAACUGGAGGACCGAACCGACUAAUGUUGAAAAAUUAGCGGAUGACCUGUGGCUGGGGGUGAAAGGCCAAUCAAACCGGGAGAUAGCUGGUUCUCCCCGAAAGCUAUUUAGGUAGCGCCUCGUGAAUUCAUCUCCGGGGGUAGAGCACUGUUUCGGCUAGGGGGCCAUCCCGGCUUACCAACCCGAUGCAAACUGCGAAUACCGGAGAAUGUUAUCACGGGAGACACACGGCGGGUGCUAACGUCCGUCGUGAAGAGGGAAACAACCCAGACCGCCAGCUAAGGUCCCAAAGUCAUGGUUAAGUGGGAAACGAUGUGGGAAGGCCCAGACAGCCAGGAUGUUGGCUUAGAAGCAGCCAUCAUUUAAAGAAAGCGUAAUAGCUCACUGGUCGAGUCGGCCUGCGCGGAAGAUGUAACGGGGCUAAACCAUGCAC
rnacentral:rRNA from 1 species